AUCAAAACAGAAGCAGCAUAUCCAGCAAUUUGUCAAUGUUGUAAUCGGUGGUACUGCAGCACGUGCCAUUCGGAGGUCAAAUUCUGUACAAGUAAGGAUUAAAUAAAUCAAUCGCCUACGAAACAGCCAGCAUAUGAAAGCUUUUUGCAAGUCGUCGUUCUCAAAAUGAAACUUUUGUCCUGCCAAGAACUUUCUACUGUAUUGAAAUAAGACAUGUUUCCAGAAUGAAAGUGGAAUGUUUUUCAAACGAAAUUUCAUUUUGUCACUACAUGAUGGUCUGAAUUUGAACGACAGCUGACGACAGAUGGCAAUUGAAUAACUUGGGACCUAUACAAGUGCAUCUUACUGAAUGAAGACUUUUCGUCCACCACAAGGACAACUGUUUUCUUGGUUCUGCGUACCUCGGCAAUUUACACUAAGGAUGUUGAAUGUGCGUAAUUAUCUGUCAAUGACAUCAAAACAUCAGGAA